rnacentral:rRNA from 1 species
GACGAGGGGUCCUAGCGUUGUUCGGAAUCACUGGGCGUAAAGCGUAUGUAGGCGGGCUUUUAAGUCGGGUGUGAAAUCCCACGGCUCAACCGUGGAAUUGCAUUCGAAACUGGAAGUCUUGAGUGUGGGAGAGAUUGGUAGAAUACCUAGUGUAGUGGUGAAAUAUGUAGAUAUUAGGUGGAAUAUCGGUGGUGAAGGUGGUUAAUUGGCUUAAUACUGAUGUUGAGAUACGAAAGCGUGGGGAUCAAACAGG